AGCAGCAGCCGCGGGAAAACAGAGGGUGCGAGCGUUAAUCGGAUUUACUGGGCGUAAAGCGUGCGUAGGCGGCUUUUUAAGUCGGAUGUGAAAUCCCUGAGCUUAACUUAGGAAUUGCAUUCGAUACUGGGAAGCUAGAGUAUGGGAGAGGAUGGUAGAAUUCCAGGUGUAGCGGUGAAAUGCGUAGAGAUCUGGAGGAAUACCGAUGGCGAAGGCAGCCAUCUGGCCUAAUACUGACGCUGAGGUACGAAAGCAUGGGGAGCAAACAGGAUUAGAUACCCGUGUAGUCCCUGUCUCUUAUAU
rnacentral:rRNA from 1 species